AGGGUGACAGGUGGUGCAUGGUUGUCGUCAGCUCGUGUCGUCGAGAUGUUGGGUUAAGUCCCGCAACGAGCGCAACCCUCGCCUCUAGUUGCCAGCAUUCGGUUGGGCACUCUAGUGAGACUGCCGGUGACAAACCGGAGGAAGGUGGGGAUGACGUCAAGUCCUCAUGGCCCUUAUGGGUAGGGCUUCACACGUCAUACAAUGGUCGGUACAGAGGGUUGCCAACCCGCGAGGGGGAGCCAAUCCCAAAAAGCCGCUCUCAGCUCGGAUUGCAGGCUGCAACUCGCCUGCAUGAAGCCGGAAUCGCUAGUAAUCGCGGAUCAGCAUGCCGCGGUGAAUACGUUCCCGGGCCUU
rnacentral:rRNA from 1 species